GUUUUACCAGCAGAAAUUUACAUCCAAAAUCCAUGACGAGCAAGUGGAUAUUUGUUGUGAUCUUUUGUGUCCUAACAAUUUCUACGAACAUCGCUGACAGCAUAUGCUGCGAUAGAGUUGAGGAAUUGGUGCAAUAAAAGAAAAAGGCCUUUGCAACUCUAUGUGCAUCAGGAAACAAUCUCCCUCGGGGUUGCUGUGACGAUAUUUAGAAGGAAGUAAAGUUGUUUGAGGAUGCAUACCAGUUGUUAUGUGUUAAUUCAUCAAACAUCCUGGGGAACUCGAGUAUUCUAAAGAAUAAGCCGCAAUGGAUAACUCAGCUUCAAAAGUGGCUGCCAUCGAACUUAAGAGGUCAUAAGACGGUGCUCUGUUACAGAGCAACCGUGAAUGGUUGGAGGUCAAACAAAUUCCACAGUCGUUGUGACUCGAAGGGACCAACACUAGUCAUUAUCAAAAAAGGAUCGUAUGUGUUUGGGGGAUUUGCAUCGCAAUCUUGGGGAGGAAGUGGUCGUUACAUAAGAGCACCAAAUUCCUUUAUUUUCUCGUUCAAAAACAAGGAUGGUCUAAAACCUUUCAAAUCCACGAUCUAUAGAUAUCAGCAAUACGCAAUGUACACAAAUACAUACUAUGGACCAACAUUUGGAGGUGGUCAUGACAUUUAUAUCGCCAACAAUGCUGGGUCCUAUUCCAAUUCAUACACAAACUUUGGUUACGUAUACAAGCUCCCAUCUGGCUAUUCCUACGGAAGCACAAAAAGAAAAGAAGUUAUUGGCUGGCUCGUACAGGUUUUCUCCAAACGAAGUAGAAGUUUUUUAUUUUUCUACACCAAUCCUGCAGGACUCAAGUAUUAUAAAGAAUAAGAAAUGGGUAGAAAAGCUUGAAGAAUGGUUGCCGUCGAAUUUACACGGCAAAUUGACUGAGCGCUGUUACAAAGCAUCCGUAAAUGG